rnacentral:rRNA from 1 species
UACAGAGGAUGCAAGCGUUAUCCGGAAUGAUUGGGCGUAAAGCGUCCGCAGGUGGCAGUUCAAGUCUGCUGUCAAAGACCGGGGCUUAACUUCGGAAAGGCAGUGGAAACUGAACAGCUAGAGUAUGGUAGGGGCAGAGGGAAUUCCUGGUGUAGCGGUGAAAUGCGCAGAUAUCAGGAGGAACACCGGUGGCGAAGGCGGAUCUCUGGGCCAUUACUGACGCUGAGGAGCGAAAGCGUGGGGAGCGAACAGG